AACCUGCAGCAUCCCAUUCGCUCUCCUUUCCUCCUCAGACUUCGAAUUCAUACACUAAGAUUAAAUCGAUAUUUAGACGACUUUCUCGAAAUUUGAUUCAAGCUUGUUUGUGUUUGUUUCUUUGUUUGUGGUUAAUCUCUUUUAUUUUGACAAUCGAAACUUGCUGUGGUUGACGAUCCAAACACCGAGUGCAAUCAAGUCUCGGCAUUGGACCAUCGCUCGAUUUGUUUGCUGUUGUCCGCGAUGUUAUGGAAUGAAAUUUUCUCUCACAGAAGCACGUUUUGCGAGUGCAGGCGCAGUAAGAUGGGGAGACGGUGGAAAGAGUGUGAAAUUCAUCGGGAACGGCUGACGAAUUUUAUAUUUCGUUUGAUAUUGUUGUAAAUUUAGCUUCGUUGGAGUUGUGUAGCGGGGUGUGGUUAUCACAAUGAGUUGCGGCUCUAUGCCAAAAAGGCUUUAAAGCGUUACGCUUCUGAGCCUUGCUGAACACACGCAUGCGUACAAGUAGGUCACCAUGCAGAUCGAGGAAGUGAUGCCAGAGCAGAGAGUUGAAGGUUUCGUGCGGAAGUUUGAUGUGAGAGAUUGGCGAGAUCCAGAGCUGAAUUUGUAUUUGACGUUGACAAGGGCCACAGACGGAGAGCCACCGGAAAAGGAGAAGAAACCUUGGAAGGAUCCAUAUGAUGAUCCUUUUCCUCUUUAUCGAAAAGAACCGGUAAUCAGACCUGCUACUCCACCGAUCAUCAAUGUCCAACACCAAGUGGUCAAGGUAUUGUCAUACAAAGAUCCCAGACCGUUGAAACAGAUGGUUAGGGAUACGCUCCGAUGUUUCCGAGACCACCCUAGGUAUACUUCGACAGACCCGAUCCGCGAGUAUCAGGAAGUCAUGGCUUGUUUUCAGUUGCGGUGUGCAGUUAUGCAGUGGCCUGAUAAACAUUUUUCAGAGAUGAGCGAGCAAGAAUACGAGGCCAUGGUGGAGCUUGCUGCGAAGCAUAUGACACUCACAGACUGCCCAGCUCAAGAGAUAGUUCAGCUUCAGGUCUAGUAAUUUCACAAUACAGUAACUAUCCUUAUUAUGAGGAUUAACAUCGACACCAUUUCUGCGGACAUGUUACAACGCAAGCAGCGUUUCAUUUUGCUAUGAAGGAAUUAGACCAAGAAAAUAGUUUAAGAAAUGCCGAGCUAAGCUCGACUGAGCAAGUCAUCUUGGAUACUAAGGUGAUCGAUAUUCGAAAAUAUUAUGAAACUGCAGA